AAGCACCGGCUAACUACGUGCCAGCAGCCGCGGUAAUACGUAGGGUGCGAGCGUUAAUCGGAAUUACUGGGCGUAAAGCGGGCGCAGACGGUUACUUAAGCAGGAUGUGAAAUCCCCGGGCUCAACCUGGGAACUGCGUUCUGAACUGGGUGACUAGAGUGUGUCAGAGGGAGGUAGAAUUCCACGUGUAGCAGUGAAAUGCGUAGAGAUGUGGAGGAAUACCGAUGGCGAAGGCAGCCUCCUGGGAUAACACUGACGUUCAUGCCCGAAAGCGUGGGUAGCAAACAGGAUUAGAUACCCUGGUAGUCCACGCCCUAAACGAUGUCGAUUAGCUGUUGGGCAGCAUGACUGCUUAGUAGCGAAGCUAACGCGUGAAAUCGACCGCCUGGGGAGUACGGUCGCAAGAUUAAAACUCAAAGGAAUUGACGGGGACCCGCACAAGCGGUGGAUGAUGUGGAUUAAUUCGAUGCAACGCGAAAAACCUUACCUACGCUUGACAUGUCCGGAACCCUGAAGAGAUUUGGGGGUGCUCGAAAGAGAGCCGGAACACAGGUGCUGCAUGGCUGUCGUCAGCUCGUGUCGUGAGAUGUUGGGUUAAGUCCCGCAACGAGCGCAACCCUUGUCAUUAGUUGCCAUCAUUAAGUUGGGCACUCUAAUGAGACUGCCGGUGACAAGCCGGAGGAAGGUGGGGAUGACGUCAAGUCCUCAUGGCCCUUAUGACCAGGGCUUCACACGUCAUACAAUGGUCGGUACAGAGGGUAGCCAAGCCGCGAGGUGGAGCCAAUCUCACAAAACCGAUCGUAGUCCGGAUUGCACUCUGCAACUCGAGUGCAUGAAGUCGGAAUCGCUAGUAAUCGCAGGUCAGCAUACUGCGGUGAAUACGUUCCCGGGUCUUGUACACACCGCCCGUCACACCAUGGGAGUGGGGGAUACCAGAAGUAGGUAGGGUAACCGCAAGGAGCCCGCUUACCACGGUAUGCUUCAUGACUGGGGUGAAGUCGUAACAAGGUAGCCGUAGGGGAACCUGCGGCUG
rnacentral:rRNA from 1 species